GACGAACGCUGGCGGCGUGCUUAACACAUGCAAGUCGAACGCUGAAGCUCAGCUUUUGUUGGGUGGAUGAGUGGCGAACGGGUGAGUAACACGUGAGUAACCUGCCCCCUUCUUUGGGAUAACGCCCGGAAACGGGUGCUAAUACUGGAUAUUCACUGGUCUUCGCAUGGGGGUUGGUGGAAAGGGUUUUUCUGGUGGGGGAUGGGCUCGCGGCCUAUCAGCUUGUUGGUGGGGUGAUGGCCUACCAAGGCUUUGACGGGUAGCCGGCCUGAGAGGGUGACCGGUCACAUUGGGACUGAGAUACGGCCCAGACUCCUACGGGAGGCAGCAGUGGGGAAUAUUGCGCAAUGGGCGCAAGCCUGAUGCAGCGACGCCGCGUGAGGGAUGGAGGCCUUCGGGUUGUGAACCUCUUUCGCUCAUGGUCAAGCCGCAACAAUGGUUGUGGUGAGGGUAGUGGGUAAAGAAGCGCCGGCUAACUACGU
rnacentral:rRNA from 1 species